GACGGUAAAGUAAACUUACACGUUUGGCUUUUCUUGAACGAAUUUGAAACAAAAAAUAUAACAGGGAACAGAAUUGAACAAAAAAAUAAAGAGAUAAAUCAGGCCCUUUUCCGUAACUAAAAUGGAACACGUGAACUAUAAUUUUAACCUUAAAAAGAUAAACUUCGUAGAAAUUGUGAUAGUUUGGGCUGAUGAAUAUUUUCUCAAAACUACAUACUUCAAACCAAUAUCUUUCUCAGUGAAUAGCUUUACGUCAUGAUUGUUAUAUACUGCACACGAAAAUCGAAAAAGUAAAAAAAUUGUGGCCGAAAUUAAUAAAGUAGAUAAAGACGCAUGAUGAUCUAAAAAGAAAAAUCAGAAAAAAGUAAAGUUGGAAUAUUAUGGGAUCAAAGUUUAGACACAUGAUCCAAGAAAUAGCACCCAUUCAACAUCUUAAACACCCCCCCUCCACCUCCACCCCCACCCCACCUCCCACUCCCCAAAAAGUAGUACUAGGCCAAGUUGUAAGGUCAAUUAAAUAAUUUUAAUGAUAUUAUAAUGCCCACAAAUAAAUACUACUUCCUCUAUUGCAGUUUAUGUGAACUUAUUUCCUUUUUGGUCCCUUUCAAAAAAAUGAUCUUGUUCUAUAUUUGGGAAUAAUUUAGCUUAAACUUACAAUUCUACCUUUAAUAAGAAGUUUUUAUAACCACACAAAUACUCUAGACCCCUUUUUAACUUGUUUAGGACCACAAAUUUCAACAAUCUUUAUUUUUUCUUAAACUUUGUACCCAAUCAAACAGAUUCACAUAAUUAAAAUAGAGGAAGUAUUCUUUAUUAUUCUUUAUUAAUCUUUGGACCCUCAAACACAUUUUGUGGUCCUCCUCCACUCCCUAAGGAACCAAAAAAGUUUCAUUCAACUCUUACCCCAAUUUCAAAAAUAGCCCAAAUCCAAUUGGAGAUGUGGGCCCAAGCAAUGAAAAUAUGGACCCCACAAAGAUAUAUGGCAGAACUGACAUGUAAUGCAGUAUUGCAAAUUUAUUAAAUUACGAAUGUGAUGAGAUAGCUAAGAUCUUUUCACUUGUAAUUAAACUUAGGACCUGAAUUUUAUUAGUUAACUUCUUAAACUUACUUGAAUUUACAUUAAUCGUGUCACUAAGUUUCGAAUACUAGAUGAUUAGAAGAAAAAUAUAGAGAAAUAAUACAGUAAGGGAAGGUAUAGGAUUAAAACCUGGGUCGUCAAGCUUUUGACUGAGUCUUUAGUAUUGGGGGUCCCCCAUGGGCCUUCUUCUCCUCCAUCAUCAUCUAUUUUUUGCUUGCAUGUUAUACACGUCAACAUCUCCCUUUAAUCUGUGUUUUACUCUCUUUGGUUCCCGCAAAACAAAAACAAAAAAAUCAUUACUUAUCAAUAUUUAUAUAAAAAAAUAAUGAAAAAAAAAAUUUGCAUUAAAUAUUUGCACAAAUCAUAUCUAUUUACCAUAAUUUAGUGAUUUGAUAAGGUGAAAUUAUAUACUCCUUCCAAUUUACGUAAACAUAUUUCCUUUUUGGUCCAUUCCAAAAAAAUGGUCCAUUUCUAAAUUUAGUAACAAUUUAAUUUAGACUUACAAUUCUACUCUUAAUAGAAGCUUUUAUAACCAUACAAAUACUCCGAACCCCUAUUUGGCUUGUUUAGGACCACAUAUUUCAGACGUCUUCAUUUUUUCUUAAACUUCAUGCCCAAUCAAACAUGUUCAUAUAAAUUGGAACGAAGAGAGUACUACUUAACUAUGGUUUACGAAGAGAAGUCUACUGGAAAAAUUGCAUAUUUGGCCGUUCGACCAAAUAUAUUUACAUCUCCUAGCCUAUAUAUAUAUAUAUAUAUGUGUGUGUGUGUAUAUGUGUGUGUAUAUGUAUAUAUGUAUAUAUAUAUAUAUAUAUAUAUAUAUAUAUAUAUAUAUUAUUCCAGCUAUUAUUAUUGAAUUGGUGUAAAUAUUCGAGGUAGAUAAAUUUUGCCAAAGUAGGUUGUAGUGGUGUUACAUAAAUUUGCUGAUGAUAAAACGUCCCUUAAUAGCAAUUAUGAUUUUAAAUAUUACUAUGAACAUUUUAAAGGGGAAUAGAUGUUGAGUUCCACUGACAUAAAAAAGGAAAUGUGAAAUGAAUAUGACACCUCUUAUCGAUUGGAAACAGUCUCUUUACCCUUUCGGGUAGGGGUAAGGCCCGUCUACUUAUUACCCUUCCCAGAUCUCACUUUGUGGGACUAUACUGCGUAGUUGUUAUUGUUAUUUUUAUAAAGGCUUUUAAUGUCUUGCUAUACAUGUUCCAGGAAAACUAAAGAGCCAAUAGUUUAUUCAAGAAAAGAAGUCACCAUCAAAAAAUCAAUUAGGAGAAAUAUUAAUACUAUUGUAAUCAAACAUGUUUCAUUUUCCAAGAGAUUGUCCUUUUGUCUCAAAUAAGCAUAUUUAUUUAUCAUAAAGAUAAGCUAAACAUCGAAUAUUAUUAUGUAUGUUAUGUAUAAAAUAUAUAUAAAUAUUAUAUGCUUUUAUAAUUAUCGAAUGUAAAUAGUUUCGAGUGUGCGCUAAACUUAAUUUUCUCCACUAUAUUUUUGCAUAAUCCGGUCAAUAUAUCAGCAAACCCCGUUGUGAAAUCCCAACAAACUAUGUGAAACAAAAUUUUUUUUUAAAAAGGCAAAUAAAAAUAAUAACAGGUAAAUGUUACGGAAAUGAGUUUAACUUCUGCGUACUGAUGUUAUAAUUACAGAUAAAUGCAUUGAUAAGCAUUGAUUAGUAAAUUAAUAAAAAUAAUAACUAAUCUCUUAUCAAAAUUUAAAACGCACCGAUAAUAUAAAAGAAUCUAUACAUUAUCAGGGUACAACAUCUCAUUUGAUUUGAAAAAUGACUUUGUACUCGUGUAAUUUCUCACCCAAAAAAGCAAAAGCUCUGAGAAAGGAUAUUCUCCGUAUCACAUUUACACUUAAUGAAAUGAUGUAAAUAUUGAGUAGUAUAAUAUGAUGUAAAUAUUGAAUAGUAUAAUAUAAUAUAAGUUUUAAUAAUUGAUUUUACGAUUUAAACCCGUAAACUAUAUAGGUCACUAGGGACACAAGACAUAGGUCCAGAAUCCAAGGAAGUGAAAUCAAAAGGAUAAAGAAAGAGUUGUUUUUAUUGGAAGAAGAGAUUGAAAAACAUGAUCACUUGUUAGAAUUCCAAUCCCAAAGUUGUUUCCACUCUUGCUUUAUAGCAUCAGACACCCAAUAGAAAAAGCAAAAAUAUAGAAAAAAAUCUUUUUUUUUUAUAUUUUUAGAUUUCUUAAACUCUAGAACCGAAGUUUCUAACGCAUAUUAAUCAUCAAUUCCCUUCAUACUUCUUUUGUGAUCAUUAUUUUUCUUUCCCAAUUCCUCUCUCAAUACGCCCAUACACACAUAAACGAAUACAGAAUUUAAAAUCAAUCUAAGAAAAAAUCUCAUACUAUUAUAUGUAUAUAUGUAAUUUUGUUAUAAUUGUAUAUAUAAUUCGAUUUAAAAUAAAAGCCUAAUCAACUCAUAUAGAACAACACCAACAAUGACAACUAUAUAUUUUAUUUAUUACCGUAAUGUGAGAUCCGAAAGGAUAAUAUAUACAUAGCUCAGUUAAGUCAUAGAAUCCGCUCUAAAUCUGUCUCUAUCACAGAAUGACAGAAACACAUACGUACAGUAUAUACGUACAUUACGACUAAUACACCAAACUACAAUUAUAGUAUAUCACUGUCAAAAGAAAAGAAAAAAAAUUGAGAGAGAAAAGAUAUUAAUAAAUUAGUAGAAUAGCAGUAGCUACAGUAAUAGCAGUACGAGUAGUAGCAAAAUAGGAGUUGAAAAUUGAAACUGGAAAGAGGAGGCUUUAAAAAAUUGUUGACUAAUUGCUUUGGAAAAUUGAAUGAGCAAUUUCAUUGAAUGUACAAAAAACAGAUAAAACUUUAAGUUUUUUCUAUUAAAAAAAAAAAAGAAAAAAGAGGCUGUACUCUUCUCCUAAAAUGAGAAAAUUAAUCAAACAUCACACAAUUUAAUCAGAAAAAUUCAUACCUGAAAUAGUCACCGAAACUAUAAUUCAGCUCAAAAUCCACUCGAGAAUUGUUGAAAUUUACAUCCAAAGAGCUUUUAUAUCUCUGCUCUGUUCUUCUCUACUUUUUUUUUUUUGAGUCCGAAACCCUAAGUAAGAUAUCAAAUCAAAUCAAAUGAACAGUGAAAAAUCCCUUGCAUUAAGCUUUCCUACAGGUACGAAGAAUCUUCUGCAAAAAAUGGAAUAUUCGCCGGCGCCGGCAAACUUCCCGCCGGCGAAAUUUAGGAGAUUCUACGGCGUGAAACCGGAAAGUUUCAGAUUCUCAUAUAUAGACAGAAUCUUCAAAUACGUAAAAUAUCUGUAUAUAAUACACACAUUAGUGUGUGUGUGUGAAGGAAACAAAUAUAGAAUGGAGACAAAGGAGAGAAG
rnacentral:lncRNA from 1 species